CCUUAUUUCUCCCUUCCCUCACCAUUUUGCAGUGGACCCUGAGGAGUGUGGUACCUUUGGCACUUGGAAGUGACAGGUGCAGAUGGGGCUGUUCCAUGAAUUGCAAAUAUCCAGAGGUUCAAAUGCCACAGCUGAAAAGCACAUGUUCUGCCAUUUGGCCAGCACGAUCCACCCGUGCGAGCUAAUUUAAGGUUGCUAAACAGAUGACACAGAACAUACAUCUUUUAUAUUUGAUCUCUGCACUGAUUAUUUUCUCCCCUGCCUCCUCACUUACUUUUUGGAGAGCUCCACGCAGAAGAACCACAACACGGUGAGUGGCAGCACAGCAGCAAAGCACAGCAUCACGUUUUUCCCAGUGGAGCGACAGGCUGAGCCCCAGCGGAGCAAGCUGCUGGGCAUGGGGACUGUCAGCUUGCAUCUUGGAGCAGCAUCACCUGGGAUUUCUUCAAAGGAAAGCAAUCUGCCUCCUAACACAUUCAACUACAUCUACACCUCAGCCACUGUAACUUUGGGAUCUGUGGCUGCAGCGUGGGGAGUGUAGCAAAGAAAUUGCAGGCACAGGAAAGUCUCCGAGUGUCUGACAUGAUCACUGGCCCAUGGCACCUGCAACAGCAGAGAAAAAUUGUUGAAAUGUCAUUUAGUCCCCGACACCAAAGUGUGUCUGUGCCCUGGGGAAUGCCAAUAGGAAUUUAGAGAGAGGAUCAAAGUGGGUGUUUGGCCAGAGGCACGAAAGGAAAGCUGUGUAAAUAAUAAUAAUAAAUUACACGGGGAUUCGUGAUCCUGCCCACCCAGCUCUCAAACUCACUGAAACCAGAACUUUUAAAGCUCUUUGUCACUUCUGGAGUCCAACUCUUUGAGCUGCUCUGACCCAUUUUGUCACACAGCAAAAAGCCCUAACCCACCAAAAAACCCGCCAAGCCCACUGUUUUGAGUAGCUUGUCAGCACUUUGUAUAAGCAUUGCUGAUACGAGGUUCUGCAGUUGCUAGCUUCUCAAUCCUUUUAUGAAAUAUGUUUUUAUUGCACUUGAAAUAAAGAGGAGUUGGUAUACAAAAAUCAAAGUACUGCACGCCUCAAAAGAUAACAGAAGUUUAUUACACUAUAAAGGCUUUCAGCAUAUGUGAAUGCUUAUUUUAUCUGAAGACAUUAGCAUAGUUAUUAGUCAUUCUAAAUGAUUAAAUUUCCCUCUCAUCCACCUAAUCUGCAUUAUAAAUGAAUAUACCAAAGAGCAAUGCACUUUGUUGAUAAAGCACUGGCUUGGCAGACAGGAGACAGGGAUUUUUUCUAGUGCUGAUUUUGACAUCUCAAGUUGGCCCAGGCUGGUUGCUUUGCCAUAAAGUGCCUCAGCAUCUCAGACUAACCAAUAAUGUUACACAGAAUCACAGAAUUGUCUAGGUUGGAAGAGACCUCAAGAUCAUCGAGUCCAACCUCUGACCUAACACUAUCAAGUCCUCCACUAA